rnacentral:tRNA from 1 species
GGUGAGGUGGCCGAGCGGUCGAAGGCGCUUGCUUGGAAAGCAAGUUUACGGUAACCCCGUAACGCGGGUUCGAAUCCCGCCCUCUCCGCCA